rnacentral:antisense_RNA from 1 species
CCAGAAGCCACAGGCUGCUAAGCAAAAGCAGUAAUCGGGCAGCAAGCAGAUGGGAUAAGAUGACUGGGGUUUGGCCAGAUGAUUUGGUGCUGGGGCUCCCUACACAACUACCACCAGGAAGGAGGAGCCCACACAUUUCUGGAAUCUGCCACUUUUAAUCGUGAACGGAGGCUCGGCCUGGUCAGCCCAGGAGCCUGAAGUCAUAUCCAAGAGGCUGCCAUGAAAUGAGGAGACAUCUUGGCCACGGGAUUCUUUUCCCUUAAGGCAAAGGACUCUGGGUGUCCUUCACUCCUAAACCAAGCCUCCUUUGCUGGAAGUUCUGCACCCUUCCUGGGCAUCCUGGGAGCAUGGCAUUGGCAUUAGCUGAUACUCGGAUGCCUUUUGCCUGGAUCAGCCAAAAACCCACAGGUAGGGCUGCUGCCUCUACCAGGAGACCAGAAGCCUGACAAGCUAAGGAUGCUCCGUCUCCUCAGACAAGAAGGAUGCUGGGCGAGCUCAGUACAGAACAGGAGUCACAGCCAGAGUUGCCACCAAGUGUACUUUAUUGACUCCACUGUGGACAGAUAUACGAAGGGCAGAAUGGAUCAAGGAAGAGAUCGUUAAGUCUGACUUCAGAGCCCCUGUUCACCUCUAGAUGUACAACCUUCACCAUCGACCAGAGCCUCAAAAGCUGGAGCAGGUCACACAUCCGUAAUGCCGGCACUUGGGAACUGUAAGCAGGAGGAUCCAUUCAAGGUCCACUCUGGACUACGUGAGAUCUUGUCUCAAAUAAAUGAAUAACAAGUA